AGAUGAGAACUGCACGUAAACUCUUUAUUUAGACACAAAAAUUGUGUGUUUUCUGUAUUUGUGUUAAACGUCAUCUGUUACACAGUAGCUCUCAGAAAUGUACACACUGCUGAUAAAAUCCCAAGGUCUUGAGACCUAAAAAAUGUAUAUGAUGCAAAAUAAUUUAAAAACGUUUUCCACAUUUAACGCAUCUAACACGUGUUAAAGAUGAAAAAUUUAAUUGGUGUCUUAAUUGGAGAGUCACAUGAUGAUGGUCCUGAUUAGAAUUUCCCUUAGAUGUGCACACCUUUAAACAAAAUCGUUAUUAAAAUACCUUUUGAUUUUAUGUCAGCAUUCUUUCUUCUCUAGUCAUGAAUUACGGAGAAUCCACAUGAAAUAAGGUUCAGCUGUCCCAAUAGGAUUUUUUAUUACAUUUGCUACUUUGUGUUCUAUGUUAUGUAGUUAGAAAGGACAAAGGAUUACAAUAAUCAGGGUAAAAUAAGUCAGCGUAACAAUGCAAAAGAUUUAACGCCAUUAUGGUUAGAGUGGACAGUCAUCAAUAAUUGAAACAAAUAUGGAUUAUAGCGAACAAGGAGGCUUCCAAAAGGCUAAUAGUAAUACUGGAAGAGCUGAAUGGGUUUUUUUAUGAGUCCUAGUUCCCACUGUGUGUCGGGGUCUGGGUUAGAGUGUGUGUUUGUGUUUUGUGUGCAACUUUGUUUUCAGUGUUCAGAUGGUGCUGGAGUUUCUCAGGUGUGCUGGGUGACAGGUGCAACUGAUCUGCUGAUUGCAUGGAGGAGUGUUUAAUCAGGAGGCUGCCCGCACUUCGAUGCCAGAGUGUUUGCCUACAGUGGCAGAAACCUGAAUCUUUUGAUUAUCUUCGUUGAACACUGACUUCGGUUCCAGAGGUUUCUGGACGAUCAAGAUUACCUACGUUUGGUGGAUUUCGUUUGGAGUUUGUUUCCAAGGACCAAGCUGGCAGCUUCCUGUUUUCCUCCGUCUCCUGAACCAAGGCAGAAGCGUACCCUGUCCACCUUCCAACACAAGUACCUGAACAUUGAACUAAGUCCUGAAUUCACCAGAACUCAUUCUACAGCUCAAGUAAAACCAUCUGGACUCCUUCUACCCCUGGCGACCUGACUGCUCUUGUUUAUUGGCGAUUCACCCAUUCACGUUCCAGACCCACUUGCUGUAAAUAAGCACCUUUCACUGAUUCAGUUGUGUUCAGUUGUGUUCUUCUGUAUGAUCUAUUACGAAAAUAAUGACACUGUGAAAGGUUAUGGUGGCAGCAUUGUGCUCUGGAAUUAAUGUUUUUACAGGAACCAGAUUGUGUUUCUUUUUUUUUCUUUUUUUUCCAAAGUUGUUGAAAUUUUUAACUAUUUCCAAAUACCAGUCCAUUUUGGCAAAAACCUUCAGGUAUCUGUUACAAAUCUGGAGAUGGACUA